AGUCGAACGCGAAAGCAUCCUUCGGGGUGCGAGUAGAGUGGCGCACGGGUGAGUAACACGUAGACAACCUGCCUUCCAGUCUGGGACAACCCUUUGAAAGAGGGGCUAAUACCGGAUAACACGCUUCAUCGCAUGGUGAAGCGUUGAAAGGCUUGCUGCUGGAAGAGGGGUCUGCGGGACAUUAGCUUGUUGGUGGGGUAACGGCCCACCAAGGCAUUGAUGUCUAGCGGGUCUGAGAGGAUGAUCCGCCACACUGGAACUGAGACACGGUCCAGACUCCUACGGGAGGCAGCAGUGGGGAAUUUUGCGCAAUGGGCGAAAGCCUGACGCAGCAACGCCGCGUGAGUGAAGAAGGCCCUUGGGUCGUAAAGCUCUUUUCUGAGGGAAGAGCAAAGACGGUACCUCAGGAAUAAGCACCGGCUAACUCCGUGCCAGCAGCCGCGGUAAUACGGAGGGUGCAAGCGUUGUUCGGAUUUACUGGGCGUAAAGGGCGUGUAGGCGGAUAUGCAAGCUGGAGGUGAAAGCCCCGGGCUCAACCCGGGAAUUGCUUUGUAGAACUGCAUAUCUAGAGAAAGUCGGAGGCAGGUGGAAUUCCAGGUG
rnacentral:rRNA from 1 species